rnacentral:lncRNA from 1 species
GUUCUCUAUCAAAUGUUGUUCUUUUGAAUUUUAACAGUUUUUAGGCCACUUAGGUCAUAUUGAUGAUGCUGUGAAGUGAUUGUAGAGGGUGUAUAGGGUCUUCAUUUUUAUGAAGUAAUGAAGAAUUAGACUAAUGUUGAAAUAUGUCUACUUCAUGAUGAACCUCUCUUUUCAAGUUUAGCAGCUUUACCUUUUAGUCCACAUUUUCCCAAUCCUUUAUUAUAAAUUUGAUUUCUGCUUACACAUGAUAUAGUUUGUAAGAGCUUUUAAAUCCUUUCUGGAAUUAGGCCCAAUAUAAACAAACUACAGGUAAAUCAUAUCAAAGAUUGACCCAUUUAAUACAGAUAUGAGCGAGAAAUGGAUGAGAGAGGAAAACCCUCAGGGACUGGAACCUGUAGUCACAUACCUCAGCUCACCUUUCCAGAUUUGCCAACAAGGAGAACCCGUGACUGAUUUGGAUUCUCUGCUUUCUGUUCUUGUUCCCUGGAGGCGUUCCUUCUGUGUAAGGAAACGUCAGAUUUGGGAACUAGACAAGCUAUUUCAGAAUUACGCGUGGUGUUGAUUACAAAUGCGAGGCUCACUAAAUCAAGAGCUCCAGAAGCAGCGUCUUGGAAUUUGUCUUUAACGACAACCCUGGUGCUUCCAGUGUACACACAAGUCCAGAAGCCCAGAGUGGAAGCAGAGGCGAGAGGCUGGGGUGUCACACUGACAGACAACGACCCCACCGACCACCCGCACAGGACCCUCCUUUUCUGAGGAAGGCACAGGUUGACUAAAUGAUUGCAACGUGGCAAUCUUGAGUUUCUAGACUGUUGCCAGAAAGGCUUCCUUGGCCCUCAGCCAGGGCCCCACCCCUAUAAUCCUGCCUUCCCCCAACUCCUACCACGGGCUCCAAUCCCGAAGAUUUUGGGGGCCCCCGGAACUGGGCUUUUCUCACCACGGAUAAACAGUGUUUGUGUGUACAAACCCAGUGGCCUCCCCAGGAGACUGCAGACAUACUUUGUGGUACUUCACCUAAGUGUGGCUCUUCUGAGCGCAGAUCCACUUUCCCUCUGAGGCUGACUCUUCCAGGAUGGCCUUCCUCGGUUCCAGCUUGGGCCACCCUGGGCCACCCUGGGGCCCCUCUGCACACAGGUGAGAUCUACCAGGAAAGCAGUUCCAACGGCUUAACUUGCCUCAGGCUGGGUCUUGGGGAGAAAUGUUUCAUUCCCAGGUGCAAAAGCAGAAAACACGCAAACGUAAGUUGUUUGCUAAAGUGAAAAAUGUGAGCGUGGACAUUCCUUAAUACACGGUUUAUGUUUCAGUGUAAGUUUUCCUGUAACAUUGGGGUUAAAGAGGAAAGGAACUGGAAGUGGAAUUGGUAAUUCGGUAACUUCCAUUCUGCUUUUAGGUUUGUGUAUCCAGAAAAAAACAAUCGCCGCUUUAUCAAGAGAAAGACAUCUGAAGGCAGUCUCAGAUUGCAAAUUUGUGAGUGACGUGUGCGGGGGUGGGGGACAUGUGUGUGUGUGAGGUGUGUAAUUCCAAAGAUUCUUUCUAGCUUUCAACCUUUCCACAAUCCAUCAACAACUUAGACUAAUAACAGGGUUUUCCUUCUUUUUUCAUAGAAAAUAAAUUUUCUGCAAAGCAGAUACAAUUUGUUCUCCUUGAGUUAUGGAAACAAAGAGGCUUUAGGACGGUGCUGUCCUCCCAUCUUCAGAUGUCAGAGACACCUUUCUCCUCUUGAAAGAGACAAUUUUGUUCUGCUGAUGGCAGUACAGCACUGUGCAAGGAUCGAGCAUGUGUGGAGAAUCAGACAGACAUGGUGUCCGCGCUCAAGGCGCAUAACUCAGCGGGAAGACAGAAGAUAAAUACAGUAACAACUGACACUUUCUACAGGCUAGAUAGAAGCUCAUUUAACCCUCACAACAACUCG